CUUGAGGUCAUGCCUCUUCUCUUGUCAUCCCAGGUCACAAGACUCCGACUCCUGCAGUCGUCGAGUGGUGAAGCCUUCAGAACCACGUAGUCGUUCCGACUCUCAAGGUCGCUCGACUAAGACUCCGACUCCUGAAGUCGUCGAGUGGUGAAGCCUCCAGACCCACGUAGUCAUUCCGACUCUCGAAGUCGCUCGACGUAAGACUCCGACUCCUGCAGUCGUCGAGUGGUGAAGCCUCCAGAACCACAUAGUCGUUCCGACUCUCGAGGUUGCUCGACGUAAGACUCCGACUCCUGAAGUCGUCGAGUGGAGAAGCCUCCAGACCCACGUAGUCGUUCCGACUCUCGAAGUCGCUCGACGUAAGACUCCGACUCCUGAAGUCGUCGAGUGUAGAAGCUUCCCGACCCCCGUAGUCGUUCCGACUCUCGAAGUCGUGACCCAAGCUAAAGGUUGUCAGAGUAGCCGAACACAACGUAAGGAGGCGACAUGAAGAGCUUGGGCGCUUGUGAUGUCAAGACCACGCGAGGCGGAGGCCACUUGAAGCCAGCACAACGCGGAGGCGACGACCGAAGCACAACAGAAGAAACACCAAGACCGCGAGGGAGCAAAGGAGCCAUGGACGUGAUGGGGACAAGAUAUUGGUGUGAAGCUCGUUUCCCCGUAUGCACACCUUGUUGAGCCAAGUGUCCAAAUCAGGGUGCUACAAGUUUACUGUUCGGGAUUUACCCGCCAACAAAUAGUUUGCAGUGGUCUACGUAAACACCAUAGAGGCAGAUAGGAUGACCAUUAAAACACACGAUUAAACAAAAUCUAGGAAUUUGAGACAUUGGGAAAGUAAUGUCUGAUACAAGUCUCCAGAUGUGGAGUUGCGUCAUCGUUUCUUGGAGAACUUCAGUGGCGCAAAGGAAUCGUUUGAUUCCUAUCGGAGGAAGCUUAUUUUGUCCAAGAUUCUUGCAAGGGUUGUCGUCACACCUCAAUGGCGAACAAGCAGGUAGCAGAGAGCGCCCAAGUUCCUCCUUUGAUUCUGGACCAAUCCCACAAGACGACAUCCAGCGGAACUGCGGAAGGCCUGUAACCUCGAGCCUACCGUAGAGACUCAGAGGAGAUGAAUGGGUCAUGUAACUAGGCUUGUAAACGGCUCUGCCGUCAGCUAGGAAGUUGACGGCAUUUAUCUAUCACUAGACAGAAAGAGAUCAAUGGCUAAGUUGUAAACGGGACUGCCGUCACUCCGUCAGCUAGGACGAACAAGCUCAUGUUCUUCUGAACUAUCAGCAUAUCAAUACGAAUUCACCCUA